GAGGAUGCUCUCUCCCUUUCUCUCUGGACUCUUGGAGAACUGAGUCGGACACCAAAGUUUGUGUGGGAGCCUGGGAGUGAUGAUCCAGUGGACAUGCAGACAGGAAAAUACCAGCUGAACCCCCUCCCACCACAGAGUGAGAAACACAGGCGUGGAGGAUUUUCCAUUUCACGGUGUGUUCAUGGAUGUCAGCUCAUUUCAUUCUUACAGUAAGAAUUACAUCCCCA
rnacentral:lncRNA from 1 species